rnacentral:rRNA from 1 species
UACGAAGGGCGCUAGCGUUGUUCGGAAUUACUGGGCGUAAAGGGCGCGUAGGCGGCUUUGUAAGUCAGAUGUGAAAGCCCCGGGCUUAACCUGGGAACUGCAUUUGAUACUGCAGAGCUAGAGAUCGAGAGAGGAAAGUGGAAUUACGAGUGUAGAAGUGAAAUUCGUAGAUAUUCGUAGGAACACCAGUGGCGAAGGCGACUUUCUGGCUCGAUACUGACGCUAAAGCGCGAAAGCGUGGGGAGCAAACAGG